rnacentral:rRNA from 1 species
GAGUUUGAUCCUGGCUCAGGACGAACGCUGGCGGCGUGCUUAACACAUGCAAGUCGAACGAUGAAGCCGGGUGCUUGCACUUGGCGGAAGAGUGGCGAACGGGUGAGUAACACGUGAGUAACCUGCCCUGAACUCUGGGAUAAGCGCUGGAAACGGCGUCUAAUACUGGAUACGACCUAUCACCGCAUGGUGUGUGGGUGGAAAGAUUUAUCGGUUUUGGAUGGACUCGCGGCCUAUCAGCUUGAUGGUGAGGUAAUGGCUCACCAUGGCGACGACGGGUAGCCGGCCUGAGAGGGUGACCGGCCACACUGGGACUGAGACACGGCCCAGACUCCUACGGGAGGCAGCAGUGGGGAAUAUUGCACAAUGGGCGCAAGCCUGAUGCAGCAACGCCGCGUGAGGGAUGACGGCCUUCGGGUUGUAAACCUCUUUUAGUAGGGAAGAAGCGAAAGUGACGGUACCUGCAGAAAAAGCACCGGCUAACUACGUGCCAGCAGCCGCGGUAAUACGUAGGGUGCAAGCGUUGUCCGGAAUUAUUGGGCGUAAAGAGCUCGUAGGCGGCUUGUCGCGUCUGCUGUGAAAUCCCGGGGCUCAACCCCGGGCCUGCAGUGGGUACGGGCAAGCUAGAGUGCGGUAGGGGAGAUUGGAAUUCCUGGUGUAGCGGUGGAAUGCGCAGAUAUCAGGAGGAACACCGAUGGCGAAGGCAGAUCUCUGGGCCGCUACUGACGCUGAGGAGCGAAAGCAUGGGGAGCGAACAGGAUUAGAUACCCUGGUAGUCCAUGCCGUAAACGUUGGGAACUAGAUGUAGGGCCUGUUCCACGGGUUCUGUGUCGUAGCUAACGCAUUAAGUUCCCCGCCUGGGGAGUACGGCCGCAAGGCUAAAACUCAA